UCAAACCAUAAGCACUAAUCAAAUACAUAAUAUAUAAACAUCAGCAUUUUUUACAAAAAAUUAUUUUCUCAGUAAUUCAACACACAAAAUCAGACAAAAUGAAUCUAGCAGGCCCGAAUUAAGCUUUACCUGCCAUCUGAUCCUGACCUCAAUCCUCCAUAUACAAGGAUGGGUGAACAGCACAGGGACGAUCCUACAAACAGGUGACAGCGACAGUUGAGAAACUGCUGAACUCGGAACAGAGCUACACAUCUGCUUGCAUCAUCAGCCAUAGUUUUGUAAGCCUUUACCUCCUCUGGCCAGCGUUUGAGGACAACACCUCAUAGACAGGAAGUUGCCUCUGAGUGUGAGAAGUGAGUCCGGCCGACAUAAUGGAGUGAAUUACACAAGUCUGACCCAGAGAGGGAACAGAGCGAAGCUUUGAAACUGUUCCCAGAAAGAACGACACAUCACUGUAAAAAUCUCACUGUGUCACAAUGGCUGCUCGGAGGGAGGGGCUGGAGGUUGCUCACACAGGCAUGUAGAGAUUUUAGUGACCAGUGUGCGACCCCAGAGUGACGAGACUUAUGAUGACGCCACCUUUAUCCUCUUUACUCGAGUUGUUCCUGGCUCGGCCUCCUCUUGGGAAGCAGUGCCCACCUCCCCCUGCUCUGACUGUCCACAGUGCAGCUUCUCAGGUGACUGGGAGUUUGUGUCUCCAGCUCUGGAUCAGCUGAACGCACCUGAUCCAGCCAAACAGUGAGCUGGUCAGACCUGUUGACUGUGGACAAGUUCUGGGAAGACUGACACCGACUGGUCGCCGCCUACAGACGUGGCUCCUCCUCCUCUGAGGUAAUGGGU